rnacentral:lncRNA from 10 species
GUGAAAGCGAAGAGAGGCUGGGAUGAAGGGUGCAAAGGGAUAGUAAAGAAAGCAUGUUUGAGAUCCAGAACAGAAUAAUGGGUUGUUGAGGGAGGUAUUGAGGAUAGGAGAGUAUAUGGGUUUGGCACCAAGGGAGGGGGAUAGGAAAAACAGUUUUGUUUAUAAGGCGCAGAUCCUGAACUAACCUGUAAGGCUUGUCUGGUUUUAGGACAGGUAAAAUGGGGGAAUUGUAAGGGGAGUUUAUAGGCUUUAAAAGGCCACGCUGUAGCAGGCAAGUGAUAACAGGCUUUAAUCCUUUUAAAGCAUUCUGUGGGAUGGGAUGUUGGCAUUGAGCGGGGUAAGGGUGAUUAGGUUUUAAUGGGAUGGUAAUGGGCAUAUGAUCGGUUGCCAGAGAAGGAAUAGAGAUGUCCUAUACUUGUGGGUUAAGGUUGGGGGAUACGAGAGGAAGAUGCAAAUGAGGCUUUGGGUUGGGGAGAAGGGCGGCAAUGAGAUGCAGCUGUAGUCCAGGAAUAGUCAGGGAAGCAGAUAAUUUAGUUAAAGUGUCUCGGCCUAAUAAGGGAACUGGGCAGGUGGGGAUAAUUAAAAAAGAGUGCAUAAAAGAGUAUUGUCUAAGUUGGCACCAGAGUUGGGGAGUUUUAAGAGGUUUAGAAGCCUGGCCAUCAAUACCUACAACAGUUAUGCAGGCAAGGGAAACAGGCCCUGAAAAUAAGGUAAUGUGGAGUGAGUAGCCUCCAUAUUGAUUAAGAAGGGGACAGAUUUACCCUCUACUGUGAGAGUUACCUAGAGUGUCUGUGAUGGUCCUGUAGGCUUCAUGAGGUGAUCAGGCAGUGUCAGUCUUCAGCUGCUAAGCCGAGAAGAUCUGGGAAGGAGUCAGUCAGAGAGCCUUGGGCCAGAGUUCCAGGGGCUUUGGAAGUGGCUGCCAGUUUUCUGGAAAAAUUACUUAAUUUCUGAUUCUGACAAAACAGCAUGAAACUAUUCAAAACACGGAGUCCCCUUCGGAAUCCUCGGAGUCAAGCUCUGUGGAAGCAGGAACUGCUUUUGGUUAUCCUUGAAUAAGCAGAUGAAGAAACAAAGCUCGGUCAGGCAGGCUGUCUGGCAGAAGUUCACAGAGCUGUGUCAGCAGCACAGCCUGACGGGAAUCCACAUCUGUUCAAAGCCAAAGAUGGUGUUCUUAACCCUCAUGCUCUUCAUCAAUGCUUUGCUGGCAGCCUGAAAGAACACUGGCACUUCCCAAAAGUAGCUCAUUUCUUUUUUUGGGAUUAAAUAUACACUCUGGACCUCAUACAUAUGAAAUAUGUUAGGGCUGUUUAUCAGAGGAUGGAAAACUUUUAAGGUUUGGAAACAUUUUAUUAAAGAACUCAUGAAUAUGGGAAAAUAAUAAGCAUUCAACAACUUUGAAUUGAAAUGUUUUUGAGAUUUUAACAAACAAGAAUUAAAUAAAACAUAAAUUUAGGGAGUUACAGCAACAUUUUAAAUAAUUAAUCUAUUCAUGGUAUCAAUUUUGAAAGAUAUUGAUACCUUAUCAGAAGAAUGAUGUUUCCUUACUGUUUUUGCAAAAGACGCUCAUGACCAGUCUCGUUCAUAGGAGAGUCUAAUUUCAGAGUGGAUGAAAGACUCAGAUUUUUGCAGCUGAAGAGACUUUAGAAGUCAUCCAGAUAAAUCACUCUGAGUUUUCUAGACAGAGGCUUGUCUCAUUUUUCCUUAAACAUCUCUAGUGAUGGAAUAUGCUCUGCCUUCUGGGGCAUCACAUUUCAUCCUAACAGCUCUUGUUAGUUCUUUCUUUCAAUUGAGUCCAAAUCUAUAUCUUUAAUUUCCACCCAAUUGCUUCCUUUUCUUUGCUUUUCCAAAUAACAGCCCAAAUUUUUUCUUUCUCUUGCCCCAAUUCCCUAUUUUUCUCAAGUACUCCAUAUGUAACAUGGUUCUGGGUCCUUUUGUCAUUCUGAUAGAUUUUCUUAGUAUAUAUGUUCCUUUUUUUGAAGUUCAUUCUUAAGUGUGUGAUUCCAAACAAAAGACAAUGCACAAAGAACUGUUAGUAAAUUGCAGAAUAAAAUAGCACUAUCGUUUUCCUUGAUUCACCAUGUUUUAUGUGAAUAACACAUGAAAAUACUAACCACAAAACAUACAAUAAAAAUUAUCAGCCUGAUGUUUACUCAGACUAAAUGUAAUGAAAAACUUAAUCAAUAAUGCAACAAUACAACAUGAGGAUUAUAGUUAAUAGAACUGUAUUAGAGUGUUUCGUUCAAUAAAUAGAUUUUUAGCUGCUCUUGUCACACAAAAAAGUGUGUGAGAUGCUUCACUAUAGUAACCAUAUACAUAGACAUAUAAUCAUAUACGUAUCACAUAACAUCGUGUUGUAACCCUCAAAUAUAUGCAAUAAAAUUUAUUUGAAAAACUAAUAUGACAAUACAAUUGCUCUUGCUACCAGCGCAGUUUGAAUUCAAAAUUUUAGACAAAUGAUAGACUACAGAAAAUACUUGGUCAUAGAAAACGUUAGUCUUUUUAGACUGCAUCUACGUACGUCAACUACCUUGAUGUUUUUCAAUUAUGAUUUUGUUACUUGAAUUUCUCCCUCUUCUCACCCAUGCUUGCUUGAUGACUGCCCAUUAUUCUGUCACCUCACCGUCUCUGUCCUCUAAGAAACUGCCCCUAAAUAUUUCAGCUUUAGUUGAGCUGCUUCUUUCUCGAAUUCUUAUUGAAAGUUAAAAUUUUGUUAAAAAGAUCUUCAGUUAAUAAUCUACCAAUAAAAAAUGAAUAAUGUUGAUGUUUAUGACAUCUAUUAUUUAUACAAAAUCUAACAUUACCAUUUCUAAAGAAAAAAUCUAAACAUUAAUUGAAGAGAACCAUAAAGCUCAACAUAGUACUGCUCCAAGUAGUUUUGUAAUACAAGUUAUCAUUUAAUACUGAAUACCUUGGAUUAAUUUUAAGACUUGAUAAAUACAUUCUAAUCUCAUAACCCAGUUUUAUCCACAAUAAGUGAACUAUUCUUAAUAUUGGAAAUUGAGUAAAUUGUUGAAAGUCGUAGUGUAAUGAAUGACAUGCAAUCUAAUAGAAGCACUUAACAAUUCUUUUAAUAAAUGAGCAUAUUCAAAGCCCACAAGACUUUGGUUCUGCGUUGUAAAUUAAUCAAAAGGUGAACAGUUCCCUUCUUUGUUUUCAAUAAAUACAUUUAUUCAAUUCUUUUCAGUAAAAAUGGUUAUUUCCCCAGAAUUCUAAUUAAAAUUCCAGUUAAAUACUUAAUUCUUUUGACCUCUAAACAAUAUAGUUCGUUAACAUGUAUUUGUGCAUUCAAGUUCUUAUUCCAUGUAAUGUGCAUUUGUAUAGUCUCCCAGUAUAAACUGAAGUUUGCUUGCUUGGAAAAAACAUAUUGUUUUCACCCACUGCAAGAUUUUAGAGGGAGCAUAGGGUCUGCAGCCCGAUCCAGCUGAAGGAAUGCUUAUCUCCAGUAUCUCUGUCUUGUUUAUUGCAAACAAAGCUCAUUUUUGUCCUUGUCUGACGGAUUUUCUUUUCAAUGAAACAUUUUGGUCUUUUCAUAAAUGUAAUUUUUGUCUAUUACUUAACCACUCUGUACCUCUAUUUCUUCAUCUGUAAAAGAAGAGUAAGAGUGGUUCUUUCUUACAGGGUGUUGUGAGUGUUAAAUGUAUUAAUACGUACGAAGUAUUUUGAACAUAGUGAAUAGCGUGCUGUUAGUAGCUUGUGAAAGUGAAUAAUAUGCUGUCAAUAGCACAUAGCGAAUAAUGUGCUGUUAGUAGUAGUAGCUUGUGAAAGUGCCUCUGUUACCAGGUAGUAAGGGAAUCCACGGUUCUUAGUUGUCCAGGGAGAAAGAUUUCGGCCAAGUGACAAUUCAGAUAACAGAGAGCUUUAUUGAAGGGAAAUCGAGAGCAGAGAGUUUAUAGAUAGACGGUACACUGAAAGAUAAGGCCGAACGGGCUACCGGAAGAGGGUGAGCCAGCAGCAGCCCGAGACUUGGGUUUUGAUGCUGUUGGUUUUUUUUCUUGAAGUUAGCUCCUAUUUCUUUAAUCUCUGCCUUUUUUCUCUGUCUAGUUUUCCCGCUCCUGUCUUAAAUCCCUGACUUUUCCCCUCCUAGUUCCUACGCCAGGCUUGUAGGACCCUCCCUUACUAUUAGUUGGUGCGCAUACGUGCGCUCGGUGUUGGAUCUCAAGUUUGUCUAAUGGCUGCGUUGCUCAUUACCGCCACCCCCAGGAAGGUUGUUUAGCGGGUCGAAUCUAAACUGUGCCUGCGAAUCUCUGACAAAUUUUCUCCUUUGAGCUCUUCCCCUUUAUCAGCAUAUACCUAGUGAGAUUCUGACACCUUAACUGUAGAAUGAGUGAUUACUGGGCAUCUUAAGGAGCUCUGCUUCCUGUAUAGUUUUUUUCCCUCCUCUUUGCUCAUAUCUGCACGCAUGUUUCGGGUGGUUUCUGGGGUGUGAGAUUAUCCAGACCUCCUUUUUCUCAGGGGCUCUUGCUCCUGGUCAUGUCUAGCUCUAGCUGUCUGCCUACUGUAACACUACCACAGCACAACACUAGUUGAAGUAAUGCUAAAUAAUCAAUAAGCCAGAUUUCCCCUCUGCAACCCAAAUCUAUAGCAAUGGUAGUCAUUUUGCUGACAUAGAACAACAACAAUUUGGUGAUAUUUUUUGCCUCUUUGCUCCAUUAAGACUCCUGGAUGAACUAUAAACUCAACUUAGGUUUAUACAAUAGAAUUUGGAUUAAAGAAAUAUCAAGCAGAAAAAUUUGUUCAGCAGGUGGAAGUAUAUUAAAAUCAGGGAAAGUAUUAUUUUAAAAUUUGGCUUUUUAAUAUAUUUACAUUCAUUUUUAUUAUCAUUAAAAUUUUUAUUUGUUUCAAAU